CAUAUAUUCUCUCCGUCUCAUAUUAAGUGACUUAAUAUUACAUGUAUUUAGACUCUUUUAAGCAUGAAUACAUUCAUAUUUGGACAAAUUUGAGUCACUUAAUAUGGGACGAAGAGAGUAUAUA
rfam:Brachypodium distachyon strain Bd21 chromosome 1, whole genome shotgun sequence.